CUAAGUCUUAUUUUGUCUUUAUUAUGAUUAAAAAGGUUUGUUUUGUUCCUGCCCUUUUCAGACACUGAAGUUGAGCAGAAACCAUAAGGAUACUCAAAGGACCUGUGACUCUCAGGAAAUGCAUCAAAUGAGAGGGACAGAUGAAACAGUUUCAAGACAAUGGCAGGAAAAACAUGCUGAAGAUUGAAACAAACCUUGGCUGGAAAUAUUUGAAGGUAUCUAGCCAGUCCACAAUGAAAGCUUCGGUGCACCCCAUGAGUCUUCUGGCAGAAAUGAUGGCGCCUGUAUUCUUUGGUUUCCCUAAACAUCACACCCUGCCUGUUUAUACGAGGCUCUUCAAUUAAGUCUGCACCCAAAGAUUCAAUAAGAGGUAAGCAGUGGUAUUAUUCAAGUGAGCAGUGAGGUGAGCAGUUUCAUACGCUAUAAAAUGUAGAUUGAAUGAUAGGUCUCAUCACCAUGCAUUCAGCCAUUAACUUCA